rfam:Blautia sp. CAG:37, WGS project CBJJ01000000 data, contig: 51
CAGAAAGCAAAGGGGAGCUCGCGUGCGAAGCGGGCUGAGAGUAGGAUGCAUCUCCUAGACCCUGAACCUGAUUUGGGUAAUGCCAACGUAGGGAGAUACGAUAUGCACAUUU